CGUAGCAGAUGAGAGAGACAACUCAAUGAGAAAGAGAUGAGUAAAGGCGUAAAGCGUACAAACUAGGAAAUAUGUGAGAAUAACUCUGGAAUCAUUUUGUCAGGGUAAAAUAUUUUAGUAGGGUGUUUUUUUCGAUCUCAUUGUGUUCUUGGCAAGAAAGGUUUGAGGCAUCGGUAUUGGAUGCUUUACACAUGUACGAUCUAUUGCUCAUGCACGAGCGAUGUCAACCUCAUGAUGAAUCAAAUGUGCCACCUCUCAAUGUAAAGCACAAAGAUAUAUGGAGAUAAAGAAUCACCUUGUCUGAUUCAUUCUGGGCAAAAAAUAAUGACCUAGAGUCUCGGAAUCUUCUUGAUUUGGGAAGAGAACUUGGUGUAACACAAAAAGGGAGUGAAGAGGAGGCAAUUCAGAGACUGAUUCAAAUGGAGGAAAGGGAUAUGGAAAAUAUGAUUGGCAAUUUGGCAGAGGCCAGAGAGGGGCGUGAUCAGGUGUCCUAAUGAUACUGAUCAGUUAUAAUGUUAGGGGGUUGGGGAGCAAGAUCAAUGGAGACUAAUUUGUGAUUUGGUGGUAAGGGAACAAACCGAGAUGUUGUUGAUCAGGAAACCAAAAUUACAACAUUUGAUCAGAGGAUGUGGAACGCUUUGUGGGGGGACUCCAAUUGUAACUGGAGCUUUUGCCCGACAAACAACAGCGCAGGGGGAUUAUUAUGCAUAUGGAAUAAGGCGAUUUUUUCUCUUCAGGAUUGUUUUGUUGGGCAUCAAUUCAUUGCUUUGAAGAGGAUAUGGGGAAGCUUGGGUCAAAUCUGUGCAAUACUUAAUGUUUAUGCCCCAUGUGAUGCUGAAGGGAAAAAGAGGAUGUGGGGUGACAUUCAGCUCUGGAAACAGAAUUUUCACGAAGCCGUUUGGUGCAUAAGAGGUGACUUUAACGCAGUGCGUAAUGUGAGGGAAAGAAGAGGAAUUAAUGAGGGGAAUGCUCAAGGGAGAUGGAGAAUUUUAACGACUUCAUUAUCGAGGUAGUCUUACAUGAUAUCCCCUGAAGAGGUCGGCGGUUCACAUGGUUCAGACCGAAUGACACAUCCAUGAGUAGGCUUGAUAGAUUUUUAUUGUCCCAUAACUGGUUGACUUGCUGGCCUGAUUGCACCCAAGUGGUAUUGGAGAAAGCUUUUUCUGAUCACUGCCCUAUCCUUUUGAAAUACUUCGUCCAGAAUUGGGGGCCUAAACCUUUUAGAACCCUAAAUUGUUGGUUUGAAGAUAAACGUUUUCGGAGUUUUGUAGAGAAAGCUUGGAGCGAACUUAACUUCCAAGGAUGAGGGACUUUCGUCUUAAAAGAGAAGCUUAAAUCUUUGAAAGGUAGCCUCAAAGUGUGGAAUAAGGAGGUGUUUGUAGAUAUACAUAAGAGAGGGAAGGAGAUCAUAGCUGAAAUGGCUCGCUUAGAUAUAAAAAAUGAGGAUUUGGGGCUUAUUGAAGAAGAGCUGGUUGCAAAUAAGGAUCUCCUUACAGAGUUUUGGAGGGUAUCUCGAACUAAGGAAUGAAGGUAUGAAAAACGAUAGAAAGGGGGUUUGAAUAACGUUUUCAGAUAAAAACUUUUUCCACUCAAGAUUUAGACAAAUCUUUUCGGAACAAAUAACACAAGGUGCAAAGAUAAGAGAUGAAGAGAAGCACACAAGUAUUUUAUCCUGGUUCACUUGAUAAUCUCUCAAGCUAAUCCAGUCCACCCGUUAAGGUGAUUUCUUCCUUCUUAGAAUGAAGGCAAUCCACUAUUCAAUGUUUGUUACAACUGCACUAGCAACCUGCUCCGUGACUAACAAUACAAUGAACUAGCAAACACUAAGAUUCACUCUCUUAGUCUUCUCAAGGAUCUGACCAAACUUGGUCCCUUAAGGAAAUACAAACUCAUUGUUUGAAAGGUUUGGCUUACAAUGAAGUGCUUCUAAGAAAGCUAAGCCUCUAUUUAUACUCCAAGGUUUAGGGUUGUAGCCGUUGCAUGGAAUGCUACCGUUGGAGGGCAAAUCCGGAACUUCCAGAUUCUGCUAUGACUGAACAUCUUAGCUUAUGAGAUUAGAGUCAGAGGGAAGCUUGGAUCCUCUGACCUUCGUAGCUUCUGCUUCUGGACUGUUCAUCAGAACUUCUAGUCAUCAGAGUUGGAAGUACUUGGUCUUCAGAGCCAGCUUACUCUUGGACUUCAGAG